GAAAGCUUGUAUGAAUGGCUUGACGUAGGUAAAGCUGUCUCUUUUAUAUUAAAUAAAAAUUAAUUUUUAAGUGCAGAAGCUUAAAUAUAACCAAAAGACGAAAAGACCCUAUCGAGCUUGAAAAUUAUAAUUAAAUUAAAUUUGUAGUAAAAUAAUUUUUAAUUAAUUUUUUUUGUUGGGGCGACAAAAGAACAAAUAAAGCUUCUUUUUAUUUUUUAAAUUUAUAAAUUUUUAGAUGC
rnacentral:rRNA from 1 species